GGUAUUACUCCAACUUUCACAUCACUAGCUUCAAUGCUCGAAAUCAAAUCAAUUAUCUUUCUUUUAUCUUCGUCUCUGCCAUACACUCUAGGUUCAUGGUGCAAACAUGUACUAGGUGGUCGCACACAUACCUUGCUAAAGGACGUCCCUCCAACAUUUCUAUUUAUCAAAUCCAAGUCCUUUUGCUGGUCUACAAUCUCCUGAAAUCUGGUGGUGAUCUGCUUCAUUUUGGACAUCAUCUUUGAAUUGAACAUAACAGCUACCGGAUUGAUGGUUGUCCCAACAGUAUGAGAGAGUUUCCGGAGAUUACUUGAGCUGGCUUGAGAUUCAUCCUUCAGUUGGCGUUGCAAAAUUUCAGUGGCAAACUCAUCCAAGAUGUCCUCUACGUCAUAAGCCAAAUCCCUGAGGUCCUCCAGCCACGUCUUCACCGACUCUUUAGUCAGCUGCUUCUCCGCUGCAUCUUCAAGCACAUGACGAAUGUCGGUCAACGUUUUCUCCCACUUGUUAAUAUCGGCGAUGACUUUCUUUUUACUAGCAAACUUGGGCAGUUUAGAAGGGGCGAUAUUUCCAAUCUUCUCGAAAAGCAACUUCAAAAAAGCUGACAGAGCAGCCACUUCAAUGGCAGCAGUCAUGGUUUCUUGGCGUUCUUCAUCAAUGAACCCAAGGCAAAGAUGGAAUAAUGCAGCAGCCAAGAUUGACCAAAAUACGUAACAAUUCGUCACUGUGUGAUGAAGUCUCACUCAUAUUAUAUUCGCUUCAUCAA
rnacentral:misc_RNA from 1 species